UGGAAAUGGAAAAGUACAUUAAAAACUCACAUAUCCGUUACACUAGAAACUUAAAUUCUACGAAUUAAUGUACAAAAUAAACCGGACCAACUCCGGUUCGGUUUUUUUCCUCUAAAAUUUCUACUCCUAAAUUCUUCAAAAACUAUGAACCGGCGGAGCAAACCGGUCACCGCCGGUUCGUUCCUCCUUCUUCUGCCGCAUUUCCAAAACUUUCCGGUGGUUAUUCGAAUGUCGUUCACUCGAAAACGUCGGACUACAAGCCGGCCGAUACUCUGGUAACAGCCGACCGGAUUUAAACCGGACCCCACAUGCAUUACAAAGCGUUUUUG
rnacentral:misc_RNA from 1 species